GAGAGUUGGCCGAGUGGUUUAAGGCGCUGGUCUUGAAAACCAGUGAUUCCGAAAGGAACCGUGGGUUCGAAUCCCACAUUCUCC
rnacentral:tRNA from 1 species